CCUACGGGUGGCAGCAGUGGGGAAUAUUGGGCAAUGGGCGCAAGCCUGACCCAGCCACGCCGCGUGAAGGAAGAAGGCUUUCGGGUUGUAAACUUCUUUUCUCAGGGACGAAGAAAGUGACGGUACCUGAGGAAUAAGCCACGGCUAACUACGUGCCAGCAGCCGCGGUAAUACGUAGGGGGCAAGCGUUAUCCGGAUUUACUGGGUGUAAAGGGGGCGCAGACGGCGAUGCAAGCCAGGAGUGAAAGCCCGGGGCCCAACCCCGGGACUGCUCUUGGAACUGCGUGGCUGGAGUGCAGGAGGGGCAGGCGGAAUUCCUGGUGUAGCGGGGAAAUGCGUAGAUAUCAGGAAGAACACCGGUGGCGAAGGCGGCCUGCUGGACUGCAACUGACGUUGAGGCCCGAAAGCGUGGGAGCAAACAGGAUUAGAUACCCUAGUAGUC
rnacentral:rRNA from 1 species